GACAGAGGUGCCAAGCGUUGGGCGGAAUCACUGGGCUUAAAGCGUGUGUAGGCGGAUCGUUAAGUGCCUUGUGAAAUCCCACGGCUUAACCGUGGAACUGCUCGGCAUACUGGCGGUCUUGAGCCAGCUAGGGGCUACCGGAACAAAUGGUGGAGCGGUGAAAUGCGUAGAUAUCAUUUGGAACGCCAAUGGUGAAAACAGGUAGCUGGGGCUGUGCUGACGCUGAGACACGAAAGCCAGGGGAGCGAACGGG
rnacentral:rRNA from 1 species